GAUGAACGCUAGCUACAGGCUUAACACAUGCAAGUCGAGGGGCAGCAUAAAACUAGCUUGCUAGUUUUGAUGGCGACCGGCGCACGGGUGAGUAACGCGUAUCCGACCUACCCAUAACACGGGCACAGCCGCUCGAAAAAGUGAUUGAUUCCCGAUAUGUCUUGUGAGUAGAUUUCAAGAUGAAAGAUUUAUCGGUUAUGGAUGGGGAUGCGUAAGAUUAGGUAGUAGGCGGGGUAACGGCCCACCUAGCCGACGAUCUUUAGGGGUUCUGAGAGGAAGGUCCCCCACACUGGUACAGAGACACGGACCAGACUCCUACGGGAGGCAGCAGUGAGGAAUAUUGGUCAAUGGGCGGAAGCCUGAACCAGCCAAGUAGCGUGAAGGAUUACAGCCCUACGGGUUUUAAACUUCUUUUAUAUGAGAGUAAUGUGCACUACGUGUAGUGUAUUGCAAGUAUCAUAUGAAUAAGCAUCGGCUAACUCCGUGCCAGCAGCCGCCGCCGUAA
rnacentral:rRNA from 1 species